rnacentral:ncRNA from 1 species
AGGUAAUUUUGCAGCGUCAGAGUGGAUAAGGGAAUUGGGUGUGAAUCCCGAACUGUCCCGCAGCUGUAACUCUCAAUCCAAAUCUGUUAGGGAGAUUCGAGCCACUUGGAGCCUGGAAAAGGCGAAAGGGAAGGUGUCCGAAACAGAGAGAGAAGUCAGAAGACCUGCCACCCGU